rnacentral:rRNA from 1 species
UACGUAGGAGGCGAGCGUUGUCCGGAGUUACUGGGCGUAAAGGGUGCGCAGGCGGCGGUUCGCGUGGAUAGGUGAAAUCUCCUGGCUUACCUGGGAGGGUGGUAUCCAGACGGGAUCGCUUGAGGGUCGCAGAGGGGCGUGGAAUUCCGGGUGGAGCGGUGAAAUGCGUAGAGAUCCGGAGGAACACCAGGGGCGAAGGCGGCCGACUGGCCGAGUGCUGACGCUGAGGCGCGACGGCGUGGGGAGCAAACCGG